CCAUGCCAUCCGCCCCUCCCACGCCUGAUCGAUCGGACCCGAAAACUCGUUUCAUUUUGGCUCUGAGUGGUCCUGGCAUCCUGCACGCCGUCUCUCUCGUCGGCUCGCCUCGCACCUGCGCUCCCAUCCACUUCCCUCCGCAUGCUCCAUCGCCUCGCCUUCUCCCCCUCUCCCUCGGGAGCCGCUGCUGCUCCGACGAUGUCACCCUCAUGCAUCGCUCGGAUCUCUCCGAUAAGCUUCUCCACCUUUCUCAUGCCUUGCUCUGUUCCUCCCUCGCGCGCUCAUAACGGAGGUUGCGGCAAUGGUGAAGACGACGUGGGAGACCGGGGAGGACACUGUCGUGGCAGGGGUGGGGGCUGAGGCGGCGGGAAGCACCUCCAAUCUCUUUGCCCCGCACGGACCUGAGCUGCCAUCGUCGCCUUGCCGUCGGGAUCGCUCAGGAGAACAACCAUGGUGCUUAUGUCUAUCGUUGGAAAUGAAGGGACAUGUCAUUUUUCUGUCCAACAAGAAUAACACUUGUCUUCUGCUAAUAUUGCCGCUAGACAAACGAACUCUGUGCUUUUGUGUGCAAGCAAUACUCGCUAAUAGUCUGUUCGGAUGUCUAAUGAACCAUGUGUGUAUGCUGCUUUUGGAUCAGUUAUAUUUUGAACUGCCAACGAUAAUGUUUUGGCAGGCAUGAAUCACAGACGCUUAAUGUAACGUGUGGCUAAACAGAAUCAUUAAUGGCUGCAUUGUGGUCCAACUAAUAUUGUUGCUACUUUAUUGUAUAUGUAUAUAUCUAUGUUGUGGCUUAAUAUGUCUGUAAUUAUACUCGAAAAUACCAUUAUCUGUUCAGUGUGAGUUAUAUAUAUAACUUUUGCUACUUUGCCAUAUAAUUAGACAUUGUACAUGGUAUCGAUAGGACAUUAUUUUCGAUCAGUUCCCUGUUGUAUCAGGCCUGAUUAUUAUACUAUGUUGCACCUCUAUGUAUGGUAGCUUGUGCACAAACAAGAAACAGUUGUAACUCUAAUGUAAAUUAUGACAUGUCUCUGAUUGUUGCUCUGGCUAUCUCA